AGGUCAGUAGCUCCAAUGGUAGAGCGGCUGAUUCCAAAUCAGCAUGUUGUGGGUUCGAAUCCCUCCUGGCCUGCCA
rnacentral:tRNA from 1 species